CCGCCCUGUCCUGCCCAGCUAAGGGAGGGGUUCAGCAGCUGAAACUGCGCAUGCUCCAUGCGAGCCCCGGUGUGGGAGGGAGGAUAAAGCUGCUUCUGCCGCCUCCGUGUGAGCCGGCUGCAGAAUGACGUCCAUGUUUCGCUCCAGCUCAUCCCAACUUCCCAUGACAGAGGGAAGAGAAAUGGCUGCAGUGGAGCCAGCUCAGGGGCUGGUGACCUUCGAGGAGGUGGCUGUGUAUUUCACCAG